UACGGGGGGGGCAAGCGUUGUUCGGAAUUACUGGGCGUAAAGGGCUCGUAGGCGGCCAACUAAGUCAGACGUGAAAUCCCCAGGCUCAACCUGGGAACUGCGUCUGAUACUGGAUGGCUUGAAUUCGGGAGAGGGAUGCAGAAUUCCAGGUGUAGCGGUGAAAUGCGUAGAUAUCAGGAGGAACACCGGUGGCGAAGGCGGUUCUCUGGGCAUUACCUGACGCUGAGGAGCGAAAGGCAUGGGGAGCGAACAGG
rnacentral:rRNA from 1 species